UCUGUCGGGAGCUCCGGAAGAGCCUGGAGAUUCUGGGAGCAGAAUGCACAUUCCAGGCAACAUUUAGACUGGUGUUUGGCCAAACAUCUGGGUACCCAUGGCCUAGACAAGUUGACACAUAGAAGGAACCACCCCACCAGUGAUCUAGGAAUUCUGUGCUACGGACCAGUGUUUGGCCCCAGGUCAGAGGAGCUCUCUUCAAGCCGGUGGGGAACGCCUGAGAGAAUUCUGGGCCAGCAGGCAGCCAUAUAUUUCUUCCUUGAUCCUGUGUGCGUGGGUGAAGUAUCAGGGAAAGGUAUAAAUAAAAUAU